AUUUUCAUGUUUUUCAAGCUCACUAAACAAAUUAUUACAUCCUUCUAUAAGAAAGUAAGGACUUAUCUUAUUCAUUAUUUUAAUUUUACUAAAACACAGUGAUAGAAGGAAAAAUUAGAUAUAUUCGUCCCCCAUUAUUAUUUGUUUCCAAAUCAAAGAUAACAUUUCAAAAUUAUAUAUAUAUUGGCUACCCUAACGCCUGUAUGGCCUACAGGAUGUGAAUUAAGAGGAUAGAGGAGGCGGGAAGACUCUUAACCCUUGACACCCCUUGCCAUGUUGCUCAGUAAGUCCCAAUCAGUCAUCGCUCAUAUAUCACUAUCACCGUACUGAAUGCCAACGUUUCCCCCAUCACAAGCCUACGUGAAGUAGAAGAAAGCAAAAAUGGCGCUCCCCAGACUCGGUACGCUCGUGGUCAGACGAUCAUUUGGAACUUCAGCGAGGAGAUUUGGCGCGCAUUAUGGAGAGGGUCCGGGCAGUAACGUACCAUUUCAAACCCAGAACAAGUGGCGAUUACUGGCAGUGAUGACAACGUUCUUUGGUAUUGGAUUUAUCGCACCCUUUGGUCUAGUAGCACA